ACCAGUGUUAUAUCAAAUAGCAUAGGUCUAUUUCAUGUCCAUGGAUCAGAUGUGCACCAAGAUCUUGAUCAUCAAAGAAAAAAUUGGUUUGCUGAAAAGAAAGAAGAUAGUACAUUAACGUAGUUUCUCAAGAAGAAAACAGGAGAACAACUCAAAAAAAAAACCCUACACAAGUACUUCAUCACUAUGAGAAAAAUAACACAAAAUGUCUAGAGAGAAAAAAAGGUGCAUGUUGUUAUUACCAAUUAGUAUGAUAGCUGAAACCAUACUAGCUAGCCGCGUUGUUAGCGCGGGCCACUAGCAGAAUGUCAGUUACACGGAAAUUUAACGUCCAUGAUGCAUAAGAGCAUGGCAAUGGGACAGACUUGAACCAAGGAUCAAAAUUAACUAUUCGUGUGAAGCAUGUGCUUAACGGCAAUAUAGUCUUUGAUAGACCAACAGCGUAAGCAACCAGAGGUGGAUGGAAAAGGAGACAUACAAAGUCUAGCAUCUCCAGGAAGGAGCGCUUAGCUUGCACAUGCACGACCAUAUACAGUGGCCAUAAACAAGUGAGGAGGAGAGAACAGGAGACACGGCGAAUGUGCAAGCUUAUUACUCGAUCACAGAACCUACCCACUGCCUUGAGACAGAGAGUAGAUAACCCACACAGUUGCAUUUGAAUAUAUGAUCUUGUGCUGUGGCAUGAUGAAAAGUUAAAAAUUGUAGCAAAAGUACAGUCAGAAGGAAGCGACGCCAACGACGAAGACUGAUGUCCAUGAAUAAUCAACGCAAAUAGGCCAGGAGCGCGUAGCGAUCCUUUACCUUAUCCCACCCUGCCCUGCGAUGUCGUCGACGCGCAAAGAUCAUCACACAACGCGCUAAUCCAUCUCAUGCUAGUUAGAAUUUGUUGAACUUCUUGUCGUCGGAGGCAAGGAAGGAAGGAAACAAAGGGAGGAAAAGUAUCAGAAGAUGUAGGAACGAUUCC
rnacentral:lncRNA from 1 species